GAUGAACGCUGGCGGCGUGCCUAAUACAUGCAAGUCGAGCGAACGGACGAGAAGCUUGCUUCUCUGAUGUUAGCGGCGGACGGGUGAGUAACACGUGGAUAACCUACCUAUAAGACUGGGAUAACUUCGGGAAACCGGAGCUAAUACCGGAUAAUAUUUUGAACCGCAUGGUUCAAAAGUGAAAGACGGUCUUGCUGUCACUUAUAGAUGGAUCCGCGCUGCACUAGCUAGUUGGUAAGGUAACGGCUUACCAAGGCAACGAUGCAUAGCCGACCUGAGAGGGUGAUCGGCCACACUGGAACUGAGACACGGUCCAGACUCCUACGGGAGGCAGCAGUAGGGAAUCUUCCGCAAUGGGCGAAAGCCUGACGGAGCAACGCCGCGUGAGUGAUGAAGGUCUUCGGAUCGUAAAACUCUGUUAUUAGGGAAGAACAUAUGUGUAAGUAACUGUUCACAUCUUGACGGUACCUAAUCAGAAAGCCACGGCUAACUACGUG
rnacentral:rRNA from 1 species